rfam:Hebeloma cylindrosporum h7 unplaced genomic scaffold scaffold_8, whole genome shotgun sequence.
GCCCGCUUAGCUCAGUGGUAGAGCGCGCCACUCGUAAAAAAAUUCGAGGAUUACCUGAAAUGGUGAGGUCGGUUGUUCAAACCAGCCAGCGGGCA